GAUCAAGCAAGGGGGUGUCCAAGUUAGGAACAAUAAGCAACAAGGGUACUGUUUCGGUUUUGUUGAAUUUCUCUCGGUGAGCUCCAUGAAUGAUGCGAUUCAGGCUUCACCGAUUUCAAUCGGAGGGCGUCAAGCUGUCGUCGAGAUAAAGAGAACUUCAACUAGAGUUGUUAAUGGAAGAGGUAGUUUCCCUUCCCGAAGAGGAACGUUUCGAAACGACAGCUUCAGGGGACGAAACUACAGUGGUAACCGAAGCUUUGGAUGAAAUGAAUAUGGAAACCAAGUCGAAUUCUCCGGUCGACCUAGGGGGGGUUCGGCAGGGCGUGAUGGGAGAGGAAGAGGGAGAGGUAACCUUUCAAGUCGUCCGAACCAGAACUCGGCUUCUACUUGAAACUCCCGUAAGAGUAAGC